rnacentral:lncRNA from 1 species
UAUUUUCAAAAUUAAUUAUUCUUCCAAAUCAAAAAGAAAAAAAGAUGAAGAGAAUUUUCUGCUGCACUUCCCUCCUUUAAUUCUAGUCCUUACAGUCAACACCCCAAGAAGGUGAGCUUCUCUUCUUCUUCUUCUUCUUCUUCUUCUCUAAUGGCGGAUUAAAUAUAUAUCUGGUGAAUUUUUUUGUUCUUUGAGUUUCCGAUUUUGGGUAGCAUCUGUUCACUGAGUUUAAUAAUUGUUAUUUUUUGAUUUUUUUGAGUUAAAAUAUUGAUCUUGAUUUCUUCGGAUUACUUGGGUUUUUGUUUAUGUUUAUGAUGAUUUCAAAUGUUAGGGCAUCCCCAAUUUCUGCAAAUUAUCUCUAUUUUGCAGCACUGUUUCUGUAAUUAUUAUUAUUUUUUUGGGUCAAUUUAUGAAAAGACCCCUGAACUUAGGCUAAAUGACGAAAAACAUCCCACCUAUCCGUAGUUAUCGAAACCCUCCGUUGUUUGUUCCUUCUUACAAUGACCUCCUUACGGUGUGAUUUUUUUGCGGAAUCUUUUUGAUUCCGAUGAGUAUUUUGCGAAAAAUGCUAAUUCUACCCAUGCAGACGCGCCGUUUGUGUAUGCUACUUUCUGAAGAAGACUAAAAUUAACCGAUGAAUAUUUUGCGAAAAUUUCUAAUUCUACCCCUGCGGACGCGACGUUUCUAUAUGCUACUUUUUGAAGACAAAAGUUAAUGUCAGAGGGGUAAUGGUAAUACUAAAAAAUCAAGAAGAAUAGAUAUUCAAUGUAAGACGGAGACAAUCAUCGGUGGGAUUUUGGUGAUUACGGAUAUGUGGGGGUGUUUCUUUGUAAUUUAGCCUAAGUGCAGGGUUGUUUUUGUAAUUUACCCUAUUAUUUAAGUAAAUAAUAAUAAAAGAAACUUUGAUUUUUUGUUGUUUCUCUUAUACAUUUUGUUCUCUUACUAUGUUUGAUAUGUCUAGUCGUAUUCUUACUCGUCUGUUGAAGUUUUAAAGUGCCUAUAAUUCUUCCGCGAUUUUUGCCGUGUGAUCUAUAAUGUGGAAUUCAGUUGCACCGAGCUGAAGCUUUACAAACGAUCUUUUGUUCUUUGAUUGCUUUAUCUAUGAUUAUAAAAAAGAAAUUGUGAAAUAUAUUAACGCGUAUUUCGCAAUGUCUUUUAUUGACAGGGAAGGGAAUAUAUUUAUAUAUGUAAAAUCGGAGUUUUGAUAGACGUGUAGAGAUUGGUGUGAUGAAUUGUUUCACUGUUUGUUUUCGGCAUGAAACUUCUUCCGCAACUAACCCAACAGUGGAUAUAAACGAAG